GUUGCCGGGCAACGACUUGGCAUUCUAAGGGUUUCUGUCCAGCAAGAGCUCCGGUAAGCGUCUCAGGUGACAAAGGAGCCCCUGGGAGACCUUAAAGGAAGUUUAAGUUUUAGUUUCCACUGAAGAUUCGCUGAUUCUCUCUAGACGAUGAUUCUCUCUGGUUCUCCAGCCCGGUUUCUCUCCAUCUAUAUGCUUAUCUUGUAGCCAACACUGGUGCCUUAGGUACUGACCACCAUGAGUUUUUAGCUUCCUGUCAUACUAAUUCCUUUCCUGCCACAUAGUACAACUCCAUAAGCUGUUUCAUUCAACUGCAAAAUGCUUCCCUAAAUUUGUAGCUAUAAACAUAUUCUUUUGUCUUUUGGAUUGCAUUCAUGAAAUUGGUGCUGGAGGAGAAUGUGUUCCUUUGCACUUCCAUAUGGCUAUAGAACUACAUCCUUAUCAACACAGAGAGAGAGAGGCUGACAGAGACAGAGAAACACUGGGCUGGCUGUGGGCUUUUGAAAAAACUCAAAGCGCAGUGGCACACUUUCUCUAAAAAGGCCACACCUAUUAAUCCUUCUAAAUCUAUCAAAGAGUUUUACUCCCAGGUGACUGAGCAUUCAAAUAUAUGAAUGGGGCCAUUCCUAUUUAAAACACCACAUAUACUCAGGGAGCCUAUAGGGCCGGAUAUAUUUCGAUGUGAAAGUCACAUCUCCUUUUGCACAGAUACCAGUAUCUGUGUUUACCCUCUUGCUGAUCAUAUGAGAAGAUUUUUCUAAACAAUUUGAUUGGACUUCAUUCAGUCAGUUUAAAGGCACCAAAAAAAAAAAAUGGAAGUUUUUCCGAAGAAGAAAUUUUGUCUCGGAUCUACAGAAGCAAAUCUUGCCUGAGUUUCCAACUACUCCACUACUCCAGAUUUCAGCCCUCUCAAUCCUCAACAAUUACAACCAGUUCCAUGAAA